rnacentral:tRNA from 1 species
CGCGGGAUAGAGCAGCUGGUUAGCUCGCGAGGUUCAUUACCUCGAGGCCGCAGGUUCGAAUCCUGUUCCCGCUACAA